AAUAGAUACCCAGGUAGUCCACGCCGUAAACGAUGAGUGCUAAGUGUUAGAGGGUUUCCGCCCUUUAGUGCUGCAGCUAACGCAUUAAGCACUCCGCCUGGGGAGUACGGUCGCAAGACUGAAACUCAAAGGAAUUGACGGGGGCCCGCACAAGCGGUGGAGCAUGUGGUUUAAUUCGAAGCAACGCGAAGAACCUUACCAGGUCUUGACAUCCUCUGACAACUCUAGAGAUAGAGUGUUCCCCUUCGGGGACAGAGUGACAGGUGGUGCAUGGUUGUCGUCAGCUCGUGUCGUGAGAUGUUGGGUUAAGUCCCGCAACGAGCGCAACCCUUGAUCUUAGUUGCCAGCAUUUAGUUGGGCACUCUAAGGUGACUGCCGGUGACAAACCGGAAGAAGGUGGGGAUGACGUCAAAUCAUCAUGCCCCUUAUGACCUGGGCUACACACGUGCUACAAUGGAUGGUACGAAAGGGCUGCAAGACCGCGAGGUCAAGCCAAUCCCAUAAAACCAUUCUCAGUUCGGAUUGUAGG
rnacentral:rRNA from 1 species